CGCGACCCCAGGUCAGGCGGGGUUAC
rnacentral:rRNA from 4 species